UUCAGAAGCAACUAAGGAGCGGGGUGACCCCAAAAACAACAGAAAAACAUCCUGCACCACCAAAUUUUCACGGUGGCACGUGGACCUGUAGUUCACCAGGUUCCUUCGUCCUCUCCUCCCGCCGAGCUCCUAUGAUUACAACAAUACCGCCGGGCAUGGGAAAAACAGCCCCCGCCGGUCCGCUUCACCCGGCAACAGGGCGAUGCUGGGGAGGCAGGUGAGAGCAGCUGGUGGCGUUUGGUCUGAUGACAAUCUUCUUUCCCUUGUUUUAGUGAGACGGGAGGAGAGGAUGGACAAGGCCCAUAAAAAAAAAUAAAAAACCCCAUAUCAAGCCA